CAGUCGCCGCGGGAAUACAGAGGAUCCGAGCGUUAUCCGGAAUUAUUGGGUUUAAAGGGUGCGUAGGCGGAUAGAUAAGUCAGUGGUGAAAGACGGUGGCUCAACCAUCGCAGUGCCGUUGAUACUGUUUAUCUUGAAUAUGGAUGAGGUAGGCGGAAUGUGGCAAGUAGCGGUGAAAUGCAUAGAUAUGCCACAGAACACCGAUUGCGAAGGCAGCUUACCAAGGCAAAAUUGACGCUGAGGCACGAAAGCGUGGGGAUCGAACAGGAUUAGAUACCCGCGUAGUCCCUGUCUCUUAUAC
rnacentral:rRNA from 1 species